AGAAACUCCCAAACACCGCUGAACUUCCAUCAUCGCCUGUGUUCGUUUCCAUGCAGUUUAAAAGGGCACUGUUCGGUGAGAUCAUUCGUCUAGGUGUAGGAAACAAGCUCCAGGGUAACACUAUUGACUCCGUUUGUUAGUUUGCAAACUACCGAACUAGACUGGCCGCAAGCCCUGAUUCUCUGGAACUGUUUUGGGCAUGAAAUCAUGCGUGCGUUAGGUCAAAAGAGACUUCCAG